GGUGCAUUAGUGAAGUGGUUAUCACGCCUGGUUUGGGAUCACCCAAUCAAUUUCCAGGAGGUCGUGGGUUCGAAUCCCGCAUGCUCCC